CCUAGAUCUGGUUCCUACACAAGAAGCCAAUCUUGACUGACACAUACCAUUUUCUAGGAUAUAUUUUGUACUUGACGAACAGUCUUUAUAACCAAUCAUGUCAUAUGUAUCUAUGAUUUAUCUUAAAAAUUAAUAAAGAUAUUUUUAUAUACUCUCAAGAUGUUGAGAAUUUAAGACAUACAUCAUUAGUGGUUAAUUUUUAAAUACUUCUUAUUGAAGGAUCAUCAUGGAGGAUAGUGAUCAAUCCAUUCA
rnacentral:lncRNA from 1 species